UUUGCUAAUCUUGUUCCCAGAAUGUGCUGUCCCCAACUGCCAAACUGCAGAAUGUAACUUCCCUCCCUGCCCUCUCCAAGAAAAGUAUAUAAGCUCUGCUUAAGCUGUUCUCAGGGCUCUUUGCUCUAUUCGAGUGAGCUCUGAGCCCCAGCAUGCUGGACCCCCAAUAAACCCUUUGCUGUUGCAUGAGACAGUCUCUUGGUGGUCUCUUCCUCCGACGCUCGCCUGACCUUUACAUUUGGAGGCCCCAGCGAGAUCCGGCAGCGGCGGACGUAAGACCCCAACGGGCUCCUCUCGGAGUAAGUAAGGCGCAAGACCCCAACGGGCUCCUCUCGGGACUUAAAACUCUUGAAAGAACUCAGCGAUACCUGUGGAAACAGCUGGCCACUGCCUACCAACCUGGGGAUGAAAGGACUCCACAUUAAUAUCAAGUAAGAGACUUCGUCUACGUAAGACGACAUCAGGUGUCAUCCCUGGAACCCCACUAAAAAGGACCACACCAGGUGCUACUUAUAACACCUACAGCGGUAAAGGUAGACGGAAUCACUUCCUGGAUCCAUGCCUCUCAUCUCAAGCCUGCGCCCUGUCCAGACUCUGGCUAAAAAUUGAAAAAAAACUGGUAACCCUUUCAAAUUGCGUAUUCACCAUGUUGAUAGGGCUAUGGACUCUCCCCUUGACCACCAGUAGUCCUAACCCUCAUCAGCCCGUUCAGCAGCGAUGGCUGAUCACAAAUCCUACUGGACAAAAAGUAUAGUCUAUCUCGCAUACAGCCCCCUUAGGGACCUAAUGGCCAUCUCUCCACCCACUCACUCCUCUCUUCUCCUGUCAGUGCCCACACCGGGUCCCACCAGGUCCUCUUACCAGCUAACCCAAAGCUCAAACCAUCUGAGGACAGCCCUCAGACCCCUAUCCAAGAUAUAAUGAAAAUGGCCUUUAAAGUUGCUUUGUCAUCACUGAAAACGGGUUACUAAAAAUUUAAAGUCCCUCACAGGCUUUUUGGGAUACUCACUCCCGUCUUCCCCUCUGCUCUACCUGUUCUACUACUCAAGUUUUUGUUGCUAGGAAAAUCCCAAACCCCUUUCCCAUUAUUCUUUUACAUCUCUCCUUCCUCAUUCUCAGAUCCACGGAGCUGCUCUCAGCCCCGCCUUCCCCGUCUUCCCCCUCUGUACCAGGCCCACAGAAAAGUCUUAACUGACCUUCUCCAGAAGUCUUCACCAUGGCUGACUUUAGGACUUUCAGCAAAAGGGUCCCUAUAAAAGAGUUCAAUGUAGAUAAACUUCCUCUUUUCGUGUUGCCCUGUUCUACUUGGCCACUGGCUAGAAAAAUCAGCACUCCUAAGCUAGACACCCCCUUACUAGUUUUUCACAAAAUAUAUAAACAAGGCCUCUGGCCUUGAGCUGGGGCUUCACAGAGAUGGCUACAUUUCUAAGAUAAAGAAGUUACCAACUGGGCUCCAUGGUAACAGCUGGCAGGAAAAAAAAAGAAAAGAAAAAAAAGCUCUCCCCCUCCCAGGUAUCCUUGAAAAGUUAACUUGCCCAGAACAACAACAACAACAAAAAAACAGAAACAAAAACUGCUUUUUGUGAACUUCUGCAGACUGUGAACUUCUGAGCCCCUUCCCUUACAUGUUGGGUACAAAAUUCUGAAACUACCUAAACUUGGGGUUCAGGGGAUUAAUUGAUUACAACAGAAGCAAUGCCCUCUAAAUCCGCUUGCAACCAAAUAGGACUGUUUCCCUGUCUUCGGUGCUAUCUUAGGUACCUUGCCUUGUCCGUCCCUACAACAGUAUAAUUCUAUAUACUUAAACAUUGUUUAUGUUUUCAUAAAAUGGUCAACAGAUGUAAUUAAUUAUGUAAUGGUGCAGAUGUUUCCCAGAGUGCUCUAUCAUGACGCAGUUUCAUUUAAAGAUCAAAUAGGGGGGCAUAAAACCCGGUUCCGCCGGGAACCUGUAUCCCUCACUUUAGCCAUCCUAUUAGGAAUAGGAGUUACUGCAGGGGUGGGCACAGGAACCACUGCCCUGGUCCGUGGGACACAACAAAUGACCCAAUUAAAAAAACAACAAUAGACCAAAACUUAAAGAUAUUAAAAACCUCCAUCACAGCUUUGCAGGAAUCUUUAACCUUUCUCUCUGAAGUUGUUUUACAGAACAGGCGAAGGUUGGACCUCCUCUUCAUGAGAGAAGAGGGCCUUUGUGCUGCAUUGAGGAAAAAAUGUUGUUUUUAUGCCGACCAUACUGGAGUUAUAAAAAAUCUAUAAGUAAAUUAAAAAGACGCCUUGAAGAGCGUCAACGAGAACCAAAAAGGGUGAUUUGAGUCUUGGUUCACACAGUCCCCCUGGUUAACUACGCUUUUAUCAGCCUUGGCCGGUCCAUUAAUAAUCCUCAUAUUAUUGCUAACUGUAAGACCUUGUUUGCUCAACCAUGUAGUUUCCUUUCUCCAAGCUCAAAUUGGACAAGUUAAACUUAUGGUAAUCAGACAACAAUAUACCCCACUAGCAGACAUAAAAUGUGACACCCCCCAAUAAUCACUUUUAUGAUUAAAAGUAGCCAGAAGAAGUGGGGAAUGAAAGGUUAAUAAAAUAGGUACUUGUCACUCCGUUUUUUAGGUACUUGUCACUCCGUUUUUCUGUAUGCUUAACAAAACACUGUUGAAAUCUUAAGAACUGUUUGCUAAUCUUGUUCCCAAAAUGUGCUGUCCCCAACUGCAAACUGUUUGCUAAUCUUGUUCCCAGAAUGUGCUGUCCCCAACUGCCAAACUGCAGAAUGUAACUUCCCUCCCUGCCCUCUCCAAGGAAAGUAUAUAAGCUCUGCUUAAGCUGUUCUCAGGGCUCUUUGCUCUAUUCAAGUGAGCUCUGAGCCCCAGCAUGCUGGACCCCCAAUAAACCCUUUGCUGUUGCAUGAGA